CUGCACGGUGCUAACCCCGGGCUUGUCAGAUCAUGAUCUUAUGAAGAAUGAAGCCCCAAUGCCUGUGCUAUAUCCACAAUGCCAUUCAGUGUUGCAGGCCAUGACACUUCUCGUGAUUGAGUGGCCUGUGUCAAAGUAAUGGAUACAUGC